rnacentral:rRNA from 1 species
GACUACUGGGGUAUCUAAUCCCGUUUGCUCCCCUAGCUUUCGCGCCUCAGCGUCAGUGUCAGCCUAGCAACCCGUCUUCACCUCAGGUAUUCCUCUUGAUAUCUACGCAUUUCACCGCUACACCAAGAAUUCUGAUUGCCCCUUCUGCACUCUAGUACUGCAGUAUCACUUGGCCGUUCUGAGUUAAGCUCAGAGAUUUCACAAGUGACUUACCGCACCGCCUACGCGCCCUUUACGCCCAGUAAAUCCGAACAACGCUUGGUCCCUACGUAUUACCGCGGCUGCUGGCACGUAGUUAGCCGGACCUUAUAAAUAGUACCGUCAUUAAUUCUUCCUAUUCUUUCGAAGUUUACAUACCGAAAUACUUCAUCCUUCACGCGGCGUUGCUGGGUCAGGCUUUCGCCCAUUGCCCAAAAUUCCCCACUGCAGCCCCCCGUAGG